GUGAUGUUAAAGCACUCUGUUUUGGGGUUUAAUACCCCCAGCACAAUUUGCACAGUGUGAACAAAUCUAAUAAGAUGUAGAACACCAGAGACCAAAAGUGGAACGCCGGGACAGAACCCUGAAUUUAGUACUAUCCUGCACAAAGUGGGACAGUAGGGGGAAAUUGGAAAAUAGUUUGAUAGGCUGAGAAAUCUGAUGAGCUCAAUGAAG